CGUGGGUAACCUGCCCAAGAGACUGGGAUAACACCUGGAAACAGAUGCUAAUACCGGAUAACAACACUAGACGCAUGUCUAGAGUUUGAAAGAUGGUUCUGCUAUCACUCUUGGAUGGACCUGCGGUGCAUUAGCUAGUUGGUAAGGUAACGGCUUACCAAGGCAAUGAUGCAUAGCCGAGUUGAGAGACUGAUCGGCCACAUUGGGACUGAGACACGGCCCAAACUCCUACGGGAGGCAGCAGUAGGGAAUCUUCCACAAUGGACGAAAGUCUGAUGGAGCAACGCCGCGUGAGUGAAGAAGGGUUUCGGCUCGUAAAGCUCUGUUGGUAGUGAAGAAAGAUAGAGGUAGUAACUGGCCUUUAUUUGACGGUAAUUACUUAGAAAGUCACGGCUAACUACGUGCCAGCAGCCGCGGUAAUACGUAGGUGGCAAGCGUUGUCCGGAUUUAUUGGGCGUAAAGCGAGUGCAGGCGGUUCAAUAAGUCUGAUGUGAAAGCCUUCGGCUCA
rnacentral:rRNA from 1 species